UAAUACGUAGGGUGCAGGCGUUAAUCGGAAUUACUGGGCGUAAAGCGUGCGCAGGCGGCUCCUUAAGUCAGAUGUGAAAUCCCCGGGCUUAACCUGGGAACUGCGUUUGAAACUGAGGGGCUUGAGUGUGGAAGAGGGGGGUGGAAUUCCAGGUGUAGCAGUGAAAUGCGUAGAGAUCUGGAGGAACACCGAUGGCGAAGGCAGCCCCCUGGGCUAACACUGACGCUCAUGCACGAAAGCGUGGGGAGCAAACAGGAUUAGAUACCCUGGUAGUCCACGCCCUAAACGAUGUCAACUAGUUGUCGGGGAAGUUAUUCCUUGGUAACGAAGCUAACGCGUGAAGUUGACCGCCUGGGGAGUACGGCCGCAAGGUUA
rnacentral:rRNA from 1 species